GCAUGGUCUUAGCGGCAGAGUUACUGGUUGGCAUGGUCUAAGAGGCAGAGUUACUGGUUCACAUGGUCUCAGCGACAAAGUUACUGGUUCACAUGGUCUCAGCGGCAGAGUUACUGGUUCACAUGGUCUCAGCGACAGAGUCACCGGUUCACAUGGUCUAUCAGCGACACAGUUACUGGUUCGCAUGGUCUCGGUGGCAGCCAUUAUGCAUGCAGUGGAAUUUAGCGGUAAAAGGAUGUAGUCUGGUACUCCCCAUCAGGUUAUAAUUUUGUUGGUGAGUGACUUGAACACCCUCUCUUCUGUAAAGUUGGGUGUAAUAGUCCAUAAAUACAACAGAGUACACAUUACCUCUGGAACUCUAUGGGAAAGAGCCCAUGAAAUCCCAGGGUCUUUCUGGAGCUGCUUUUCCUAAUUUGUAUUAUUAGCAGAGCUGAGCCCAAUCAACACCUAUGUACCAAAGCACUGUUUUAUAGGUCUUGUAUUUAUCGAAGAUAUCCUGAUAUUUAAUUCUCAUUAAACAUUCCAGGAAGGAGUUCUCAGAGACAUCCUGGUAUGUAGAGUUUCUAGAUGGUUUCAUCUGAAGGAGUUCCAAGAUGGCACAGCGGAUGGCAGCUUCAAAACAUGGAUCACCUCGUUCCACACCGCUGGACUGCACUAUGAGAGGGCACGAAUAUCAAGCAUUUGUGGGAUCACUAUGAACGCCCUAAGGCGAAAAGCUGGGACAGCUCUUUCCGGCAAUAUAGCGGGACAUUUGCAGGACGGCACUAUGAAAGAGGCUUCUUUGCCAUCUGUGAUAUUUGACUUCCAGCGCUGACAAAGUGACCGAUAUCUCUUUGAAUGGACUGACCCCAUAGUACAUCAAGGACCUCAUCCAAAUCUAUACUCCAGCGCUCAAAUUGAGGUCCGAGGGCCAGCUCCAGCCCGUGGUGCCUAGAGCGAGACUUAAAACCAGGGGGGACAGGGCUUUCUCUGUGGUGGGCCCCAGACUUUUGGAAUGCCCUCCCCCUCCACCAUGCCCCCACGGUGGAGUGCUUUAAGUCUCGUCUUAAGACCCAUUUUUAUUCCCUGGCUUUUUAACUUUGCGUGAGUUUUGUGGUCCUCUGUGUUUUUUAUUUCUUUGACUACUUCAAACUACGUCUUUUAUCUCUUUUACUAUCUGUUUGAUUUUAUUGUUUUAUUUAUAGCAUCAUUUUAGAGUAAUACACUUAUUAUUUUUUGC